AACGAACGCUGGCGGCAGGCUUAACACAUGCAAGUCGAACGCCCCUUUCGGGGGGAGUGGCAGACGGGUGAGUAACACGUGGGAACGUGCCCUUCAGUUCGGAAUAACCCAGGGAAACUUGGGCUAAUACCGGAUACGCCCUUACGGGGAAAGAUUUAUCGCUGAAGGAUCGGCCCGCGUCUGAUUAGCUAGUUGGUGAGGUAAAGGCUCACCAAGGCGACGAUCAGUAGCUGGUCUGAGAGGAUGAUCAGCCACACUGGGACUGAGACACGGCCCAGACUCCUACGGGAGGCAGCAGUGGGGAAUAUUGGACAAUGGGCGCAAGCCUGAUCCAGCCAUGCCGCGUGAGUGAUGAAGGCCUUAGGGUUGUAAAGCUCUUUCGGCGGGGACGAUAAUGACGGUACCCGCAGAAGAAGCCCCGGCUAACUUCGUGCCAGCCGCCGCCGUAACAC
rnacentral:rRNA from 1 species